rnacentral:misc_RNA from 1 species
GAUGAAGAACGUAGCGAAAUGCGAUACUUGGUGUGAAUUGCAGAAUCCCGUGAACCAUCGAGUCUUUGAACGCAAGUUGCGCCCGAAGCCAUUAGGCCGAGGGCACGCCUGCCUGGGUGUCACACGUCGUUGCCCCCCCAUCUACUCCUUCGGGAUUGCGGGGGGCGGAUGAUGGCCUCCCGUGCGCCUCGUCGCGCGGUUGGCAUAAAUGCCAAGUCCUCAGCGACGCACGCCACGACAAUCGGUGGUUGCGAAACCUCGGUUGCCCGUCGUGUGCGGUCGUCGCGCAUCGAGGGCUCGAAAAAAUUGCCGGGCUCCGGCUCGGCUUUCAACGCGACCCCAGGUCAGGCGGGGUUACCCGCUGAAUUUAAGCAUAUCAAUAAGCGGAGGA